GCCUUCAAGCACAAUAAUUAAGUUAAACAGCAAAACUAAAAUACAAGACUUGAUCAUUGGAAAUGGUGCUGCUGUUGCUGCACUAGGAAGCAAAGUUUGGAUAGAGUAUGUGGUGAUGGAUUAUCGGAGGAAAAAAGUUUUAGGAGAGCCAACACAAUCAAUUUUGGUACUUGGAGAUGGCUACACAUAUGAAAGCUUGUCUCAUGGCAUUGUGGGCAUGCACAUCAAUGGACGUCGCAUAAUUUCUUGUGGCAAAAUGGGGCACUUCUAUGUGGACCUCCUAACAAUAUUCAAUUAACAGUUUUAAAACUAGUUAUUGAACUUUUGAACUUGUU